GCGGAGCUUCUGAAGGAUCAGACGGGAGUCACCGCCAGGAUACCCUCUUUUAAUAUAACCGUCUAUUUCGAUGGCACCACCGCCCACGUUGCAGGAACUCCCACCGCCGUAGAGGGUCUGUGCGGCAAUCCCAGCGAUCCCAGUCAAACCACCACCCUGAGCGAAGCCAAGGCGACGGCCUACAGCGAGCCCGGAUGUGAGAUCCAGCACACAGAUCCUGUAAACAAGACGACCGACUGCAACAGUACAGCGGACCGCUGUAAGCUCCUUCAGCACUCGGCCUUCGCUUCCUGUCAACCCCACGCCGACCCGCACGCCUACAUAACCGCAUGCACCGACACUCUGUGCAACUACCCGCCGGCGGACGGGCUGAGGUGCCAGUUCCUCAAGGCGUACAGCGCCACCUGCAGCCUCCGGACCGGAAACACGCCGCAAUGGAGAGAGGCAGCCAGCUGCAGUGAGAUCCAGCUUUCAUUUUGUGUUGCACGUUUUUACGAAGAUGUUAAAGGAAAUUAUGAUC